UUCUAACGUGGACCCGUGAUCCGGGUUGCGGACAGUGUCUGGUGGGUAGUUUGACUGGGGCGGUCUCCUCCUAAAGAGUAACGGAGGAGCACGAAGGUUGGCUAAUCCUGGUCGGACAUCAGGAGGUUAGUGCAAUGGCAUAAGCCAGCUUGACUGCGAGCGUGACGGCGCGAGCAGGUGCGAAAGCAGGUCAUAGUGAUCCGGUGGUUCUGAAUGGAAGGGCCAUCGCUCAACGGAUAAAAGGUACUCCGGGGAUAACAGGCUGAUACCGCCCAAGAGUUCAUAUCGACGGCGGUGUUUGGCACCUCGAUGUCGGCUCAUCACAUCCUGGGGCUGAAGUAGGUCCCAAGGGUAUGGCUGUUCGCCAUUUAAAGUGGUACGCGAGCUGGGUUUAGAACGUCGUGAGACAGUUCGGUCCCUAUCUGCCGUGGGCGCUGGAGAACUGAGGGGGGCUGCUCCUAGUACGAGAGGACCGGAGUGGACGCAUCACUGGUGUUCGGGUUGUCAUGCC
rnacentral:rRNA from 1 species